ensembl:lncRNA LINC02185 long intergenic non-protein coding RNA 2185
AGAUAGGGUAGAGGCAGAAGUAGACGCAAUUAAACAUGAAGGAUUGUGAAGGCAAAAGAUGAACCAGCCAGCCUAGUCUCUGGAUGCAUAAGCUCCAAGUGUGGAGGAGACCCGGAGAGAAAAGCAGACUGUUCUCUGUGUUUACCUGUAAGCACAGGCCGCAACCUGCCAUGCUGUUUUUAAAUGCCCAAGAGCUGGUGACAAGAGGGUUUCCCUUUGCCAUCUGGACCUGAUUGCCUUAGAGCAUCCUACCCAGCUUCUAAUCUAAGCUCAAACACACCCUCCUUCAGGAAGAUUUGCUGUUCUACCUUCUCCCCACCAAGCAGAGUGAAGGGAUUCUUCUUUGGAACUCCCACUCUCCUUUAUUUAUCUCCAGAUGGAUGAAAAAGGAAGAGGGUUUCUGUUUUGCUAAAAGCCCUCUGGUGAGCAAGUGGAUGAAAGAGGAGAGAGUUUGCCUGGGGCAGGGGUGGAAGGGGGAGUCGUGGCAGGGGCAAAUGCUAGGUAGCUUGAGAGAGAUAAAGAAGAUGUAAUUAGAGAAGAGGGGUGAUAUGUGAUUUAACCUUCUCCUUUAUCUGCCCUACAACAUCUUUAGUGAAAGUCGACAUUGCAAACCACAGUGACACGUGGAUAAAACUCACGUUGUUGGGGGGAGAAGAGCAAAACAUAUGCUUCACAAUAAAAACACUCAGUAUCCUAGGAAUAGGAGGGAACUUCCUCAACCAGAUAAAGGGCAUCUAUGAAAAACCCAGAGCUAACAUCACACUUAAUCGUGAAAGACUGAAAGCUUUCCCUCUAAAAUCAGAAACAAGAAAA